GCUGACGAGUGGCGGACGGGUGAGUAAUGUCUGGGAAACUGCCUGAUGGAGGGGGAUAACUACUGGAAACGGUGGCUAAUACCGCAUAACGUCGCAAGACCAAAGAGGGGGACCUUCGGGCCUCUUGCCAUCAGAUGUGCCCAGAUGGGAUUAGCUUGUUGGUGAGGUAACGGCUCACCAAGGCGACGAUCCCUAGCUGGUCUGAGAGGAUGACCAGCCACACUGGAACUGAGACACGGUCCAGACUCCUACGGGAGGCAGCAGUGGGGAAUAUUGCACAAUGGGCGCAAGCCUGAUGCAGCCAUGCCGCGUGUAUGAAGAAGGCCUUCGGGUUGUAAAGUACUUUCAGCGGGGAGGAAGGUGUUGUGGUUAAUAACCGCAGCAAUUGACGUUACCCGCAGAAGAAGCACCGGCUAACUCCGUGCCAGCAGCCGCGGUAAUACGGAGGGUGCAAGCGUUAAUCGGAAUUACUGGGCGUAAAGCGCACGCAGGCGGUCUGUCAAGUCGGAUGUGAAAUCCCCGGGCUCAACCUGGGAACUGCAUUCGAAACUGGCAGGCUUGAGUCUUGUAGAGGGGGGUAGAAUUCCAGGUGUAGCGGUGAAAUGCGUAGAGAUCUGGAGGAAUACCGGUGGCGAAGGCGGCCCCCUGGACAAAGACUGACGCUCAGGUGCGAAAGCGUGGGGAGCAAACAGGAUUAGAUACCCUGGUAGUCCACGCCGUAAACGAUGUCUACUUGGAGGUUGUGCCCUUGAGGCGUGGCUUCCGGAGCUAACGCGUUAAGUAGACCGCCUGGGGAGUACGGCCGCAAGGUUAAAACUCAAAUGAAUUGACGGGGGCCCGCACAAGCGGUGGAGCAUGUGGUUUAAUUCGAUGCAACGCGAAGAACCUUACCUGGUCUUGACAUCCACAGAACUUUCCAGAGAUGGACUGGUGCCUUCGGGAACUGUGAGACAGGUGCUGCAUGGCUGUCGUCAGCUCGUGUUGUGAAAUGUUGGGUUAAGUCCCGCAACGAGCGCAACCCUUAUCCUUUGUUGCCAGCG
rnacentral:rRNA from 2 species